UCCUGGACUCUUCCGCUAUAGUCUUGACACUUGAGACUUAACACUUGACGCUUAACGACUAUUUGAUCUUCUCACCUCUAAGUGCUGUCAUACUCCAAGACAAUUUACGCAAGCAGCAUCAUAGCCGAAAAACUGUUUGUCGACCAACAAAGAAAAAAUGAAAUGCAAUCAAAGUUAGGUAAGAGAACUGACCUUAAACAAUGCUGCACAGAUCGGACAUCAGAUAUCGCAUAUGUCUGCUGGCGCACACAUAUGCCACAGAUCAAAUACAAAACACAUUCACCCAAAAAAAAAAACGUCGCCAACAACAGCAAACAUUCCUUUUCAAGAGACCCGAAACAAAGAUUUUCUGGCAAAGAAAACCAAACGAAAGCCGAGCUCUGAAAAGAGAAAAGCAAUCAAAGCGCAGCAGAAAUGGAGCCAAAAAGAAAAAGCCUAAGAAGCGGUUAGCUGCAGAGAGCCAACAGGCGGAAUAGUGAAGAGCAUAGAGCAUAGGAAAGAGAAAGAGAGACAGAGACAGAGAGAGGCUAAGGCUGGCGAAUGGAGUGCACGAGGCGAAUGAACUUUGCGGCAAGUCGUCGCUGGCUGCGUUGGCAUGAAAGUUAUGCAACGCACACACACAAACACACAAACACACACACUCACACACAUAGAGCAACACCAGCAUAGAGCUGAGCGCCAUGGUGAGCGCAGCUUUGCUUUCGGCUCAGCGCGCGAAACAAGUUAACUGUUUUUCUUCGGCCUCGCGUUAAGCGCUUGCCUGCCAGACAACGACGACGCUGACGUCGACGUCGUCGUUGACUUUGACUAGCCGCUAGUUUUAUGUGAGUGUGUGUGCGUGUGCGUGUGUGUGCGUGAGUCGUUGACUUUGCAUAAGUGUGCCAAUUUAUGAAACGGCAUGGCCUUCAAUGCAACAAGCUAAAACACAGAUAAGCGAGCUUGGAAACAUGCGAGAGCUUUCGCGUGAGCUUUGAUGUUUCAUUUACUGUUUCAAGUACUCUAAAACAUUUACUGUUACUUUUGAUUACAGCUCCGUUGUGGGACCUUAACGAAUGCAUUCUAAACUAUGAAAGGCUCGAUGCAGCCCAAUUCUAUGAGCCGCCAGCGCUUUGUGCAUCACGAAUUUGCCACGUUUUGUUUGCAACUGCAACUGCAGCAGCAGCAGCAGCAGCCGAAGCAACAAGAAGCCGCAACGUCAGCGCUGCAUUCAGCAUGCAGCAAACAUUACUGUACAUUCACCCACUUUUCAAAGUUCAAACACACACACAUACACACAGACAGGCACAUAGACACGGCAAACGUUUCGCUAGAGAAACAGAAAUUGCAUUCUAGACGCGCUGCAAAAAAAA